AUUUAUAAGAAUAUGAUGUUGGUUCAGAUUAAGCGCUAAAUAAGGACAUGACACAUGCGAAUCAUACGUUUAUUAUUGAUAAGAUAAUAAAUAUGUGGUGUAAACGUGAGUAAUUUUAUUAGGAAUUAAUGAACUAUAGAAUAAGCUAAAUACUUAAUAUAUUAUUAUAUAAAAAUAAUUUAUAUAAUAAAAAGGAUAUAUAUAUAAUAUAUAUUUAUCUAUAGUCAAGCCAAUAAUGGUUUAGGUAGUAGGUUUAUUAAGAGUUAAACCUAGCCAACGAUCCAUAAUCGAUAAUGAAAGUUAGAACGAUCACGUUGACUCUGAAAUAUAGUCAAUAUCUAUAAGAUACAGCAGUGAGGAAUAUUGGACAAUGAUCGAAAGAUUGAUCCAGUUACUUAUUAGGAUGAUAUAUAAAAAUAUUUUAUUUUAUUUAUAAAUAUUUAAUAUUUAUAAUAAUAAUAAUAAUAAUAUAUAUAUAUAAAUUGAUUAAAAAUAAAAUCCAUAAAUAAUUAAAAUAAUGAUAUUAAUUACCAUAUAUAUUUUUAUAUGGAUAUAUAUAUUAAUAAUAAUAUUAAUUUUAUUAUUAUUAAUAAUAUAUUUUAAUAGUCCUGACUAAUAUUUGUGCCAGCAGUCGCGGUAACACAAAGAGGGCGAGCGUUAAUCAUAAUGGUUUAAAGGAUCCGUAGAAUGAAUUAUAUAUUAUAAUUUAGAGUUAAUAAAAUUAAUUAAAGAAUUAUAAUAGUAAAGAUGAAAUAAUAAUAAUAAUUAUAAGACUAAUAUAUGUGAAAAUAUUAAUUAAAUAUUAACUGACAUUGAGGGAUUAAAACUAGAGUAGCGAAACGGAUUCGAUACCCGUGUAGUUCUAGUAGUAAACUAUGAAUACAAUUAUUUAUAAUAUAUAUUAUAUAUAAAUAAUAAAUGAAAAUGAAAGUAUUCCACCUGAAGAGUACGUUAGCAAUAAUGAAACUCAAAACAAUAGACGGUUACAGACUUAAGCAGUGGAGCAUGUUAUUUAAUUCGAUAAUCCACGACUAACCUUACCAUAUUUUGAAUAUUAUAAUAAUUAUUAUAAUUAUUAUAUUACAGGCGUUACAUUGUUGUCUUUAGUUCGUGCUGCAAAGUUUUAGAUUAAGUUCAUAAACGAACAAAACUCCAUAUAUAUAAUUUUAAUUAUAUAUAAUUUUAUAUUAUUUAUUAAUAUAAAGAAAGGAAUUAAGACAAAUCAUAAUGAUCCUUAUAAUAUGGGUAAUAGACGUGCUAUAAUAAAAUGAUAAUAAAAUUAUAUAAAAUAUAUUUAAUUAUAUUUAAUUAAUAAUAUAAAACAUUUUAAUUUUUAAUAUAUUUUUUUAUUAUAUAUUAAUAUGAAUUAUAAUCUGAAAUUCGAUUAUAUGAAAAAAGAAUUGCUAGUAAUACGUAAAUUAGUAUGUUACGGUGAAUAUUCUAACUGUUUCGCACUAAUCACUCAUCACGCGUUGAAACAUAUUAUUAUCUUAUUAUUUAUAUAAUAUUUUUUAAUAAAUAUUAAUAAUUAUUAAUUUAUAUUUAUUUAUAUCAGAAAUAAUAUGAAUUAAUGCGAAGUUGAAAUACAGUUACCGUAGGGGAACCUGCGGUGGGCUUAUAAAUAUC
rnacentral:ncRNA from 1 species